CACGGAUCCAAACUCUCCUCUCCACCAGAUCCCGAUCCUCUCUUCUCCUCCCUUCUCUGUUCUCUCUCGCGGACGAGCGACGACGACGAGAGCAAGGCUCCAGCUCCGGUGGUCCUUCCUCUGCCGGCAUCGACACCCUAAGAUUUUGUGGCUGAUCGCCGAAGGUGUUGUGGCUAGGGCACGGUGAGGAGCCGGAUCUCACAUCGUCUCCGACUGGUAGGUCUUCCCUCUCCUCCCCUCGUGCUGCUCACAGAGCGGUCUGCACCUCAUUCCACUGCCGUUCACCAAAUCUUGGAGGGGAUUGGUUGCAUCCGACGCCACUAGAUCGAUCCAGAUUCAUCGAUCGUCGGCAUAAAGAUGUCUUAGAAUGAUCCGUGUCUCCUCAAAUUGGAUCAGAUUGGGCGAUACCUUCUGGAGACAACCGAUUGAGGGAGGUUUGUAUCCUGAGGAUCUGUUCUGUGGAUUGUUUGGUUCCGGCAGCACCCCAACCAGCAGCUCCUCUUUGGUUGCGGAUCAAGAGCAGUGGUUGAAUUGAGGACUUUGAUUCGAGACGGGCGUCUCGACGUUGGAUUUGGCGUGAUUGUACCUUCUAUUUGA